rnacentral:rRNA from 1 species
AUUGAACGCUGGCGGCAGGCCUAACACAUGCAAGUCGAGCGGUAACAGGGGAAGCUUGCUUCUCGCUGACGAGCGGCGGACGGGUGAGUAAUGUAUGGGGAUCUGCCCGAUAGAGGGGGAUAACCACUGGAAACGGUGGCUAAUACCGCAUAAUCUCUUAGGAGCAAAGCAGGGGAACUUCGGUCCUUGCGCUAUCGGAUGAACCCAUAUGGGAUUAGCUAGUAGGUGGGGUAAUGGCUC